GAUGAACGCUAGCGGCAGGCCUAAUACAUGCGAGCUGAACGGUAAAUGUUGUAGCAAUACGAUAUGAGAGUAGCGUAAGGGUGCGUAACACGUAUGCAAUCUACCCGCAACAGGAGGAUAGCUCCCCGAAAGGGGAAUUAAUACUCCAUAAUAUCACGAGAGGGCAUCCAAUUGUGAUUAAACUCCAAGGGGUUGCGGAUGAGCAUGCGUCUGAUUAGUUAGUUGGUGAGGUAACGGCUCACCAAGACGAUGAUCAGUAGGGGAACUGAGAGGUUGAUCCCCCACACUGGCACUGAGAUACGGGCCAGACUCCUACGGGAGGCAGCAGUAGGGAAUAUUGGUCAAUGGGUGAAAGCCUGAACCAGCCAUGCCGCGUGCAGGAAGACGGCCUUCUGGGUUGUAAACUGCUUUUAUCUGGGGUUAAAAUACCCGUGCGCGGGGAAUUGAAAGUACCAGAGGAAUAAGCCACGGCUAACUACGUGCCAGCAGCCGCCGUAACAC
rnacentral:rRNA from 1 species